UACGUAGGGGGCGAGCGUUGUCCGGAUUUAUUGGGCGUAAAGAGCGUGUAGGCGGUUCGGUAAGUCUGUCGUGAAAUCCUGAGGCUCAACCUCGGACGUGCGAUGGAUACUGCCGGGCUAGAGGAUGGUAGAGGCGAGUGGAAUUCCCGGUGUAGCGGUGAAAUGCGCAGAUAUCGGGAGGAACACCAAUGGCGAAGGCAGCUCGCUGGGACGGUACUGACGCCGAGGCGCGAAAGCGUGGGGAGCAAACAGG
rnacentral:rRNA from 1 species